UUUUUAAUCUUUAAAAUUGUGUAAACUUUUAACCGCUGUAUCUCCGAAGAUAACAGCGAUACUUACGAUUUUCUGAUGUGGUUGCGAUCGGGAAACAUUGCCCGACAUUCGAUUUAAUUUUCAUUCGUUGUUCUACGUCGACGGCUUUGAACGCUAUCGUUGUGUAAAUGUGAGGAGAAUCUUUAGAUUUAUGUAAACUUUCGAUUGCUGUAUCUUCAAAGAUAAUAGCGAAAAGUACGAUUUUUUGAAGUGAUUGCGAGCAGAAAACAUUACUUUUUACGAUGCGGAAAAAAAGAUGAUAAAAAGCUUUGCUAAAUUGAAUAAUUAAACGAUUGGAUGGAUUUAAACGAUAUUGAUAAUUGCAACAAAAAUGAUCAAAAUUUAGAAAAGUAAACAAAAGAAAUCUUUAAACCUUUUUUACGCGAAUUAUCUUGUAAAUUAAUAAUAAUGAAAAGAAAAUUAGAAAAAAGUAAUUAUCGAAAAUAUUAUCGAUGAAAAAAAUUAAAUCGUUUGAUUUUAAAGAAACGAGAAAUGAUAAAAUGAACCUAAUGGAAUGAUAUAAUAAUGAUUGAUAAAAUGUAAAAGUAAAGUGAAAAUUAAUAAUAUUAUAGCGAAUAUUAUAGCGAAUAAUAUAUAACGAAUAAAUAAAUCGUGGCGCGAUGUCGCAUCGAUUGGUAUUAUGUACGGUUAAACGUAAUCGUUUUCCAAAUACGAAACGAAACGAACGUGUUCCUUGAAUUGUUUUUGUAUAUAUGUCGACUUACGCAGUCGGUUUCCGAACACGAAACGGGACGGACGUAUUCUUUUUUGCACUCCGAAUAAAGAUUUUAUCGAUAUACGAUAUCUUAAAUAAAAUAUUAAAAUGUAAAUAAUUGUUAAAUAAAUAAAGUAUAUGUAAGAAUGUAAUUAUAAAUACAUAAAUAAAUCGAUAAAAAAAUUAAAUGUUCAUCGAAUACGAGGAUAAUAAAGAACGAAACGAAUUGAAGCGUAAAAAAAAAAUACUCCGUUAAUCGAUAAAUUGAAUACUUAGAGAUUACAAAAAAAUAUAAUAAUCAAAAUCGAUGAAUAAAACAAAAACUUCUAAUCGUUCGAUUCCUUUUAUUUAAUUUCAUUUCCAUUGAUAUUUCAUUUACAUAUUUUUUUCUUUUUUUCUUAAUAUUGAAAUAUUAAAAAAGCAUUAAAAUUAAAUCAUCGAAUUAAAAUAAUCCCGUAUUAAUCCCGUUAACUGCGUAAGCCGUGAAUCGAAUAUAAAAAAAAAUAAUAAUAAUGAAAAUUAGGAAACGACAAAUAAAAAACUUGUAUAUGGAAAAUAAUCGUACAACGUCUAAACACGCUUUUAGAGAAAAAAAUGUAACGAGCGAUAAAGAUAUUUCGAUAAAUAGAAAUAAAAGAAAAGAAAACAAAUUUCUUUUCUUUUCUUUUAGUCUCGAGCAUAAACCGUAAAUGGAAAAUUCAAAAAUUAAAAUUCCAUUUAAAAAUUAAAAACAAAAAGAAAAUAAUAAAAUGAUUUUUAUUACGAUUUUUAUUUCUUAAACCGCGUGUGGCGCGAUGUUCGUAUUAUUAAAUAUCGUUGUUUCGCAUGAUAAUUUGCUGAUUUAAAAAAUUUUUUAUAAUUUUACCGUUUAGAUAGAAUUCCUGACGAAAUGAUCAACGCUUUGGAUAUUAAUUUUAGCUUAAAAUAAUUUAAAAAAAGAAUAUUACGUUUGAUUAAGAAUCCUGAUUUAUAAUUGUACGGUGAUAUUACUCUAACGAAUUAUUUCGUUUGCUUAUUUAUUCCCUUAUACACUGAUGCGAUCUUCUUGCUUUUUUAUAAAAAAAAAAAAGAUAUAUUUGUUUAUACUUUAUAUUUGCUAAACGUCUUCUCUCUGCGACGAUUCGCGGUUGACUUCUCGCCCUUACGGUCAUUUUUAAUCACGUGUCCGAUAUCUAAUGAUUCGAAUUAAUAUCCGGACGCGAUUUGCGAGAGAUUAUUUGUUUAUGUUCGUUUAAUCGAAUCGAUUAACUUUUGAUAUAUUAAAACUCGUUAUAAUUAAUAAAAUUUUAUUUAUUUAAUAUACGAUAAACGAUAAAUAAAAUAAUAGUAUGAUCGAAAAAAAUAUUCGCACGUUUAACAAAUUUAUAUUUAAAUGAUAAUUUUUUAUGAAAAAAAAAAUUAAUUUAAAAUUCUCUUUCUUCUUUUUUCGCGUCUUAAAUGAUAAAUAUAUUGAAAUUAAAAAUUAUUUUUUUGUUGAUAAUAGAUUUUGUAUUUUAUUUUAUUUAUUUUUUUUUUUUUUUUGUUAAAUGUCCGAAUAUUUCAGACGAAUUUAUUAUUUUUCUUUAAUGUACGUUUUUCACAUAUUCGAUCGAUUCGAUUUAUCGUAUAGGAAUAUUUGUGCGAUUACGCGAAAUUUGUUAUCUAUGGUUCGAUUCUCUUCGAUUGAAAUUGCAUUUUUUCUUUUUUAUCUAUAACGUUCGAGCCAUAAAUCGAUGAAUCGUAUAUUUUUGGUCUACGUAUGUUAUUGUAAAAAUAUAUUAAAUAUAUUGCGAUGGAAUACGUAAAUAAAAUUCUUAUAAUUGAAAAUUUUAGUGAUUUAAUUCACAUAUUAAAUAUGAAAAGUAUGUUGAUUUAUUAUUUGAAUGUUACGGAAUGAAUCAAACGAAAAUGUAAUUUUAAUUUGCGAUGAGGUGCAAAAUAUCCAAAUAUUGUGCUAUUGAAUUGAGAUAACGAAUGAGUUGUGCGUAAUUGCAUAAAUAUUCCUAAAUAAAUAUGAUGAAUAAAUCGUCGAAUAUGUAAAAUAUAUAUUAAAGAUAAAUUUGGAAUAAGAAUGCAAGUGGAAUAUAUAGUGUAGAGUUCGUUAUCGACGAAAGAUAAUUUUUAAUGUAUUAAAUUGUUCGAAACGUGUCGUGAAAGAAAAAAAAAUUAAACUCGAUUUAUAAACUGAUUUAUAAACUCGAUUUACUUUUUUUUAUAAAAAAAAUUGCUAUUUAAACGAAUUGAUAUAAAUUUGUUAAAUAUCCGAAUGUUUCUUCCGUGUUAAAUUUCUUCGUUCGUUUAUCGUUUGUCGAUGCAAACUAAAGAAAAAAGAUAUUUAUAUUUUCGCUAAUUACGAAUCCGUUGAUACAUUGAAAAAAUAUAUCCGUUCGAGUGAAUCGUGUUAAAGAAAGAUAUAUCGAUAAACUGUUGAAAAAAGAAGAAUGUCGAAACGUUGCUAAUAAUGAUUUGAGACUAUGAUGUGUUUAUUCUAUCCUGUGUCGGUAACGUAGAAAUUGAAAUUACUGUGAACGUAAAAAUAAAAACGUAAACAUUUUUUCGAAAAAUGUUUUAAUUUUAACUUUCGAAUCGUCAAAAAUUCUUCUCGCGAAUACUGUUUUUAUCUAAAAGGAAUCGAUUUUCAAAAUUUCAGCUGAAUCGAAGCGUACAAAAUUUUCAAAGAUACAGAAAAUGACGAAAUAUUUUUAAAAAUUUUGAAUCUUAACUUUCGAGUCGCGAAAGAUUCUUCUCGGGAAUAUUGUUUUUAUAUCAAAUGAAUCUGUUCGUCCGAAUGAACUUAUUAUUAUUAAAAUUUAAAACUCAUUGUUAUUAAAAUUUUAUUCAAAUUGGAUACGACGAGUUUUCGAAAAUGCGACGAAUCAUUUUUAUAGAAAAAUCUCACGAAUUGAUAUUAUUUGCGUAUAUAUUGUAAAAAAAAAUUUUACGAGUAAAUUUUUAAUUUAUGAAUGAUUCGAUUUAUAUACGACUCUUUUUAUUAUUCGUAUAUAUAAUGAUUAAUGUAUGAAUACGAUCUGAUGGCGUACCUAACGCCUUGAUUUUUGCACGAUUGGUAUUUGAAAGCGUGGAACGCGAAAUUCCGUUGAAUGUUGCGUCUCUGCGUCUCCUCCGUGAUAUUGAAUCUGUUCUGUGCUUGUCCGAUCCGUAGAGGAAUACGUUGAUUGACUUUAUUUUGUACGUACGUAUCGUAUACGCGUCUGUCAUCCGCGUAUUAUUUAACGCGAGUGAAUGAAAUAAUUUUUAUCGGUAAUAAGGGCAACGAUCGAUGUAGAUUGCAUCACUUGUGAUGUCUGUUUAAGAAGAACGCCAUUGAUUUCACCGUUCACGAUAUUUAUACCUGUGAACGUGUUUUAUUAAAAA